UACGUAGGGUGCGAGCGUUAAUCGGAAUUACUGGGCGUAAAGCGUGCGCAGGCGGUUCGUUGUGUCGGCGGUGAAAGCCCCGGGCUCAACCUGGGAAUGGCCGUUGAAACUGGCGAACUGGAGUGUGGCAGAGGGGGGUGGAAUUCCGCGUGUAGCAGUGAAAUGCGUAGAGAUGCGGAGGAACACCGAUGGCGAAGGCAGCCCCCUGGGCCAACACUGACGCUCAGGCACGAAAGCGUGGGGAGCAAACAGG
rnacentral:rRNA from 1 species